rfam:Oryza rufipogon genomic scaffold, chr07
AGUGUGUAUACUCACCUAGAUUUCCGUGUCCAGCGUUUGAUCGUCUGUCUUAUUUAGAAAAAUUAUAAAAAAAAUUAAAAAGACAAGUCAUACAUAAAGUAUAUUAAUCAUGUUUUAUCAUCUACCAACAAUAAAAAUACUAAUUAUAAAAGGAUUUCAUAUAAGACGGACAGUCAAACGUUGGAGAAACCCAUGGUUUGUCUUUUU